ACGGCCCAGACUCCUACGGGAGGCAGCAGUGGGGAAGUUUGGACAUGGCGAAAGCCUGAUCCAGCCAUGCCGCGUGUCUGAAGAAGGCCUUCGGGUUGUAAAGGACUUUUGUCAGGGAGCAAAACUUACUGGUUAAUACCCGGUGAGGCUGAGAGUACCUGAAGAAUAAGCACCGGCUAACUACGUGCCAGCAGCCGCGGUAAUACGUAGGGUGCAAGCGUUAAUCGGAAUUACUGGGCGUAAAGCGUGCGCAGGCGGACUUUUAAGCCAGAUGUGAAAGCCCCGAGCUUAACUUGGGGAAUUGCGUUUUGGAACUGGGGAGUCUAGAGUCUGUCAGAGGGGGAUGGAAUUCCACGUGUAGCAGUGAAAAUGCGUAGAGAUGUGGAGGAACACCGAUGGCGAAGGCAGUCCCCCUGGGGAUAAGACUGACGCUCAUGCACGAAAGCGUGGGGAGC
rnacentral:rRNA from 1 species